CAGGGUUGGUAAUGAAAUCGCUUUCGAAGGACCACCUGAAGGAGAGAUAUCGUGUGAUGCAGCUUCCAGUUGUCAGGCAGAUGACGUCAGUCGAUGCUUGACUGUUACAAAAGUUUCUUCAGCUGUUUCCACCCAAAAAAUCGGGAACUGCGAAGACGCCAACUAUUAUGUUUGUUCUUUCCCAGGGAGAUGCCCAAAGGGCUUCCUCCAACACAGAGGCCUCUGCUAUCAACUGCUGCCUCUUAACCCCAAUCGUAGCGUUAUGAGGGCCCUUGAGAAGUGUGGAGGAAUUGGGUCUGGUUUGGUAUACCCUGAAACGAAAGAUGAUCUGGAUUUUGUCAAAGACCUC